rnacentral:rRNA from 1 species
GGUGAGUAACGCGUGAGUAACCUGCCUUCAAGAGGGGGAUAACAUUCUGAAAAGAAUGCUAAUACCGCAUGACAUAUCGGAACCACAUGGUUUUGAUAUCAAAGAUUUUAUCGCUUGAAGAUGGACUCGCGUCCGAUUAGUUAGUUGGUGAGGUAACGGCUCACCAAGACCGCGAUCGGUAGCCGGACUGAGAGGUUGAACGGCCACAUUGGGACUGAGACACGGCCCAGACUCCUACGGGAGGCAGCAUG